AUGGUUAGAAUGGAAAAUUUUGCUUAUGUGUGUUUUCCCCUCCCCACCGCCCCUCGCACCCACAAAGUUCCCUUUUCUCUGGAGGAGACCUUGAGUAAUACCCAUGCCCAAAGCUUCCCCCAACUGGUUUCUGAUCUUAGGAAGGGGACGGCUCCAGAAAUAGCCCUGUCCCUGGUUCUUCAAGCUAAGACAUGCCAACCUAAGGCCUCCUUCAUCCGGAAUGGGCACGGUUCCAGGGGAGGGAGGUGGUUUUCUACCUCUAUGCAGUGGGCGGUCUUGGCAGCGGGCAGGUGCAGCCAGCCUCCCUGGGAAAAAAAAGUCUCAACUGUAGAAAUUGGAUGGCUCCCGAGAUGUGUUUUAAGUCACUGCAGUCGUUACACAAGCCAAGUUCACUUCCACGUUCAUUGCAGACUGUGUACAGUAGCCCAGCCGUGGAAGUCCCCGG
rnacentral:lncRNA from 9 species